rnacentral:misc_RNA from 1 species
UACGUAGGUGGCAAGCGUUGUCCGGAUUUAUUGGGUUUAAAGGGUGCGUAGGCGGCUUUUUAAGUCAGUGCUGAAAUAUCCCGGCUUAACCGGGAGGGUGGCAUUGAUACUGAAGAGCUUGAGUAAAGUUGAGGUAGGCGGAAUUGACGGUGUAGCGGUGAAAUGCUUAGAUAUCGUCAAGAACACCGAUAGUGAAGACAGCUUACUAAACUUUAACUGACGCUGAGGCACGAAAGUGUGGGGAUCAAACAGG